GACGUAGGGGGCGAGCGUUGUCCGGAUUUAUUGGGCGUAAAGGGCGCGUAGGCGGCUAGGCAAGUCAGAUGUGAAAGCCCCGGGCUUAACUCGGGAAUUGCAUCUGAAACUGCUGGGCUUGAGUUCUGGAGGGGGUAGUGGAAUUCCCAGUGUAGCGGUGAAAUGCGUAGAUAUUGGGAGGAACACCUGCGGCGAAGGCGGCUACCUGGACAGAAACUGACGCUGAGGCGCGAAAGCUAGGGGAGCGAACGGG
rnacentral:rRNA from 1 species